GACGUAGGGUCCAAGCGUUGUCCGGAUUUACUGGGCGUAAAGAGCGCGUAGGCGGUCUGUUAAGUGUAGAGUGAAGUCUCCAGGGCUCAACCCGGAAACUGCUCUGCAUACUGGCAGACUUGAGGGGUGCAGAGGUGAAUGGAAUUCCUGGUGUAGCGGUGAAAUGUGUUGAUAUCGUUCGGAACACCGAAAGCGAAGGCAGAGCACUGGGUGCCACCUGACACUGCUAGGACGAAAGCGUGGGGAGCGAAUGGG
rnacentral:rRNA from 1 species